ensembl:lncRNA
CUUCCAGCUGUAUGACUUCUUUCACUCUAAAAGAAAAUGUGGGAUCAAAGCAGAACCUUGCCAUACAAAAUCAACAUCUUGGACAUAUCCCAGCAUCACUGACUACCUAGGCAUCUUUCUUUCUGUCUUCUAGAAACACAGAAGUGUUCAGGUUAAUCAAGUCUACCUAUCAGCCUGAUCUACUGAGUCCCAACAUUAACACAUGUGCCUUAGAGCCACGUCCACACAUCCCUUAAAUCUUCAGGAGCCGAGGUACAGAGAGAAUCAUAGAAUCAUAGAAUAUCCGAAGUUGGAAGAGACCCACAAGGAUCAUCAAGUCCAACUCCUGGCUCCGCAAAAGACCAUCCAAAUGCAAAUGGUCCUUCAUCUAACCUCAUACUCUGAUUAAAUUACACUUUUACAAAGAAAUCCCAGGAUUUAGUGUGUCCACAAAGCUGAUGAUCCAGAGAAGAACAAAAGAAGUGUAACUGGAAGCCUUUAAUUCACUGUCUCCAGUACAUACUGGGACUUUCUGCUUUUUCCAGUGUUCGCCUGCCCCCCUGAAGAUGAAGCUCUACUGGGAGAUGGUUGGAAGUACAAAGAGGGGAAAAAUAACCGGUGAAUACGUAACAGGAACAACUCGUUCUUGGAUUCAGAGCUGUCUGUGGACAAUCUGUAAGCCAGUGUUUUAAGUAAAAUAUGUGACUAAUGAUCCCUAUGAGGAGCAUGAAGUAAUUAAUACCUGGAGGUGAUAUACAAGGCUGAGGGAAAGUGGGAUGAAGGCGUAACAACAUGGGAGAAUGGCAGUGUUUGAGAAAAGCCCACACCUUUGGAGGUGGCUUCUCAUGGGGGAGCAAGCUGUGAAGAAAGCACAUGAAGAAUAAGGACACAUUUUAAGUGCCUUUAACACAUUGCAAGAAUGUGUAAAGGACCACGUUCCCAUAUUUCAUGAGCAAUCACAGUGCUAGCUGCUUUUUUUUUAAUUGCAGCAAAUUACUGACUUGCUUGAGCUUUUCAAAACUGGUGAAACUCAUUAUACUUUAGAAUAAUUGCA